GUAGGCAGCGAGCGUUGUUCGGAGUUACUGGGCGUAAAGCGUGCGUAGGCGGCGGCUCAAGUCUGGUGUGAAAUCUCCCGGCUUAACCGGGAGGGUGCGCCGGAUACUAGGCUGCUCGAGUGCCGGAGAGGCAGGCGGAAUUCCUGGUGUAGCGGUGAAAUGCGUAGAUAUCAGGAGGAACACCCGUGGUGUAGACGGCCUGCUGGACGGCAACUGACGCUGAGGCACGAAAGCGUGGGGAGCAAACAGGAUUAGAUACCCUGGUAGUCCACGCCCUAAACGAUGCAUACUUGGUGUGGGCAGUUCAGUCUGUCCGUGCCGAAGCUAACGCGAUAAGUAUGCCGCCUGGGGAGUACGGUCGCAAGGGUG
rnacentral:rRNA from 1 species